GACGAACGCUGGCGGCGUGCCUAACACAUGCAAGUCAACGGGGUAAUUUCCUUCGGGAGAUUACUUAGUGGCGAACGGGUGAGUAACGCGUGAGAAACCUGCCUCUCAGUGGGGGACAACAGUUGGAAACGACUGCUAAUACCGCAUAAGCGCACAGUGUCGCAUGACACCGUGUGAAAAACUCCGGUGGUACAGGAUGGACCCGCGUCUGAUUAGCUAGUUGGUGAGGUUAACGGCCCACCAAGGCGACGAUCAGUAGCCGGCUUGAGAGAGUGAACGGCCACAUUGGGACUGAGACACGGCCCAAACUCCUACGGGAGGCAGCAGUGGGGAAUAUUGCACAAUGGGGGAAACCCUGAUGCAGCAACGCCGCGUGAGUGAAGAAGUAUUUCGGUAUGUAAAGCUCUAUCAGCAGGGAAGAAAAUGACGGUACCUGACUAAGAAGCCCCGGCUAACUACGUG
rnacentral:rRNA from 1 species